rnacentral:rRNA from 1 species
UACGAAGGGGGCUAGCGUUGCUCGGAAUCACUGGGCGUAAAGGGUGCGUAGGUGGCGUGGUAAGUCGGGUGUGAAAUUUCGGAGCUUAACUCCGAAACUGCAUUCGAUACUGCUGUGCUUGAGGACUGGAGAGGAGACUGGAAUUUACGGUGUAGCAGCGAAAUGCGUAGAGAUCGUAAGGAAGACCAGUGGCGAAGGCGGGUCUCUGGACAGUUCCUGACACUGAGGCACGAAGGCCAGGGGAGCAAACGGG